rnacentral:tRNA from 1 species
GACAGAGUGGCUCAGUGGAAAGAGCACGGGCUUUGGAGUCAGAGGUCAUGGGUUCGAAUCCCGACUUGGCCA